GGUGACAUAGCCAAGCGGUAAGGUAGACAACUGCAAAUUUUCCAUCCCUAGUUCGAAUCCGGGUGUCGCCU
rnacentral:tRNA from 1 species